GACGGAGGGUGCUAGCGUUGUUCGGAAUUACUGGGCGUAAAGGGCGCGUAGGCGGCUCUCUCAGUCGGACGUGAAAGCCCGGGGCUCAACCCCGGAACGGCGUCCGAGACGGGAGGGCUGGAGACCGGGAGAGGAGGGUGGAAUAGCCAGUGUAGAGGUGAAAUUCGUAGAUAUUGGCUGGAACACCGGUGGCGAAAGCGGCUCUCUGGCCCGGUUCUGACGCUGAGGCGCGAAAGCGUGGGGAGCAAACAGG
rnacentral:rRNA from 1 species